UUUUUCUUAGCCAAACGUGAUGAACAAAACGGAGCGAUUUCUCCUACACAAAUAAUAUUUUUGGAAAAACUGAACAUUUGCUAUCUAACUGAGAGUCUCCUCAUUGAAAACAUCCGAAGUUCUUCAAAGGUAUCUUCACGCACGACUGGAUAGGCCUUUUGGAUACGCUUGUCCAAGGCCCAAGACAUAAAGUCUCCUGAAAGCUGUGUAGCAAUCAUUCCAUUGCUGACCCAUAGGAUGGUAAUCACAUACAUGAUUGGCUUCAUCUAGAAUCAUGGAUACCUUUCAUACCUUCUCAUCACAAGUUGGAACUAGUGGUCAACAUUGGGACAAUGCAGCCAUAAAUAACAUGGACCAAUAUUUUCAUGGAGUGAGCAAGACCUGCCAGCAGAGCUCACUGGAGCAGGGAGACAUGCCAUCAUCCUUUUGGCGCCUGACAAAGUACACUUUUUUUCUUCUAAAUAACACGAUAGUAACAUCUUCUGCACAAAGUUAC
ensembl:lncRNA